rnacentral:lncRNA from 1 species
GCAGCUGUGACGUCAGAGCCGGCCACAGGCGGCGGCCAGCCCGAGCUGCUGGUACCCUGUGUGCCUGCUGGCCGUGGGCCCCCGGCUCCCACCCCUUAACCCCUUCCCGGCUUCCCUUUCCCAGACGGCCAUCUCCCAGCUGGCCUGGCCCACAAGAUUCCCAGAUUUCACAACCCGGGCUGGCGCUGACUCACGUACAACAGGACUCCCAGUUGAUGACGGCACUGGAAUUUGACUCCGCUGUGUAACCCCAGACAAGUCCACUCUCCAAGCUGCUGGUGUGUGCCUGGAGGCCCACACAGAACGAAUUCUAUGGUGCGCAGCGAGAGUACGAGCCAGUGGAGCGGCC